GAUGAACGCUGGCGGCGUGCCUAAUACAUGCAAGUCGAGCGAACGGACGAGAAGCUUGCUUCUCUGAUGUUAGCGGCGGACGGGUCAGUAACACGUGGAUAACCUACCUAUAAGACUGGGAUAACUUCGGGAAACCGGAGCUAAUACCGGAUGAUAUUUUGAACCGCAUGGUUCAAAAGUGAAAGACGGUCUUGCUGUCACUUAUAGAUGGAUCCGCGCUGCAUUAGCUAGUUGGUAAGGUAACGGCUUACCAAGGCAACGAUGCAUAGCCGACCUGAGAGGGUGAUCGGCCACACUGGAACUGAGACACGGUCCAGACUCCUACGGGAGGCAGCAGUAGGGAAUCUUCCGCAAUGGGCGAAAGCCUGACGGAGCAACGCCGCGUGAGUGAUGAAGGUCUUCGGAUCGUAAAACUCUGUUAUUAGGGAAGAACAUAUGUGUAAGUAACUGUGCACAUCUUGACGGUACCUAAUCAGAAAGCCACGGCUAACUACGUG
rnacentral:rRNA from 1 species